rnacentral:rRNA from 1 species
UACGGAGGGUGCGAGCGUUGUCCGGAAUCACUGGGCGUAAAGGGCGCGUAGGCGGCCUGAUAAGUAGGGGGUGAAAUCCUGCGGCUUAACCGCAGGGCUGCCUUCUAAACUGUCGGGCUAGAGCACGGUAGAGGCAGAUGGAAUUCCCGGUGUAGCGGUGGAAUGCAUAGAGAUCGGGAAGAACAUCAGUGGCGAAGGCGGUCUGCUGGGCCGUUGCUGACGCUGAGGCGCGACAGCGUGGGGAGCAAACAGG